UAGCGAAGGGGUCACACCUGAUCCCAUCUCGAACUCAGAAGUUAAGCCCUUCAGCGCCGAUGAUACUUGGGGAUUACCCCUGGAAAAGUAGGCCAGUGCC
rnacentral:rRNA from 1 species